rnacentral:lncRNA from 1 species
GCAGUACGAGGAUGCAGGUUGCGGUGAUGGUGAUUAAGAUUGAAGAUGAAGAAGAUAGGUUCAAUCAAGGUGGAGAUCAACAAAUUUGAUGGAAAGAGCAAUUUCUCUUUGUGACAAGCGAGGGUAAAGGACGUGCUCAUCCAACAAGGAUUGAUCGAUGCUUUCUUCUGUAAAGAGAAGCCGACUACCAUGGAGGUGCA